AGAUUCUCUGCAUAGAGGAAGAAAGGGAUGACGGUAAUGACAGGCACAUGGAGCAGAGGAGGCAGAGAGGAGGGUACUGCCAUAGUACCCAUCACCUGUAUAACUACCUUGAUUCUUACCCAACAUACUGAGAUUCAGAUUCAGUCCAACCCUUCCAAGUACCUGCUCCAUGCCCAGCCCUGAUCAGAUCACUCCACAGCCCUGGAACCCCUUCCUCAGCAUUCCAAGCAAAGCACUGUCAUUUAACCAGGCGAACACAAAAACUAACUGCCUCCCAACAGUGUGAACUGAUCUCAAAGACUCAACAAGAUAUCCAGAGCCCAUGAGCAAGUGACAGCCAUAAGAAAGGAUGAAGACACAGCAGCCCAACCCUCUCUUACCUCUGGGUGUCGGUCCAGGUCACUGAGAGUCAAGCCAUAUUGCAAGAUGAGCUGACGGGCCUGUGGAAGACAAGAAAAAGCACCAUAAUCAUUUACUCUGAGCACGUGGCAAAGAUUCUCAGCAUUCUUUUGGAUUUCAGUGUCUGACACACAGUCCUGAACAAGGCUCCCUCCUAAAUCCAACUGGGUCCACUAAGAGCUCAAAUUUGGCUUUGAUCCUGUGUGAAGCCAAGGACCCUCUUGGCUGGUCCUAUGGUACCCCCUCUGGUUCCCUGGAGCUGGCCAGACUGCACCGCCCUAAAGAAAAGGAGGAAGAAAAGUCCUGGAGGCAACUCGGGCCAAACCCAGAGCUACAGCCAACACCCCUCACUUCCCAGAGGACAAAGGCCACAGGGUAUCCAAUGCCAGCCCCUGGGCCCAUACCUUCUAUGGUCCUUCUCAAAGACUACAUCUCAAACUAUGAAAGAUUAGAAAAAACGACCAAAUGUGGAGGGAGCUACAAAAAAUAAAUCAAAUGCUAAUAUUCCAGCAACUGAAGCACUUCUAACUGGGCCUCCCCUACCUACAGGGGUCUUCACCCAUCAGCCUCUGUUUGAAAGCUGAUGGAAAUCACUUUGACUAGCUCAUAGUUCCCUAGUCAACAAAAAUACCAAGGAGCCUCAGAGCAGAACUUGUUCUAGGUCAGAAUUCCAUCUUCAGUGAUGCUCUCAAGAAGGCAAUGAAUGCAUCUAGUCAUCAUUUAGCUACCUGGGCAGACCUCCACAGCAAGGCCUUCCAGACAAGUGAAUGAUAUGUCAAAAUGUUCAAAACAGCUGAA